GGUCAAAACUAAAAAUAUGUCGCAGGACAGACUGUCUGAGAUGUCCAGAACCUGGCUCGGGAGGGAUGCCUGAGCACAGGUUGUCUGUGUCUUCGCCUGACGGAUGCCGGUGAGACAUCUCUCGGACUGGGAGCACGCACUGGCGAGCUUGAAUAUUUCACAAUGAGAACAAUGGCACCUGGAUGGUUCAGUGGCUUCUAAAAAGGCAGCUCAACAUGAUGAAGAGAAGAUGCAACAUACUAGUGCAUUGCAUAAACUGCUCAUGCACAUAGCAAUCUUGCAAGAUCAAGUAAGAAGGACUUGUAUUUAACUCUCUCUCUCUCUCUGCCUCUCUCUCUCUCUCUCUCUGUAUAUAUAUUAUUAUAUACACAGUAUAUUAUAUUUGGAUAUGUUAACAGUGCUUUGAGAUCGCUGAUGGAUGCCAUUUUGACUCCAGUACAAUCUGGCACAAUGUCCUGCAGAAUCCUUCCUGCAGCCCAUGGUAGUUUAGUAUGAGGCCACAAUUUAGUGUGCCUACUUCUUUCUUGUCUUCCGUGAGGAAUGGACAGAUGCGCUGUCAGCUAAACAUGUGAAUGAUGCACGUCUUGCUCAUAUGGUACACAUUUACUAAAGGUAGCAGUGUUACUUGACCCUCAACGCCGCUUUGACCUUUUUGGAUGAUGUAUGUGCCGCACUCUGGACAUGAAAACAGCAACACUCAUAUAUACUAUAUUGUCAUUCUGGUAUUUGUCUGUCUAAUAGCAUUUUGUAGUAUUGCAUGUCCGUUUGAAUAUGAGAGAGCCUGUGAGAGCACUAGUGUAUGAUGUCCGUACUUCAUCAUAUCAUACUCCAUCAUUAAAAGCGAAAGAAGAGGAAUUGACUUGUCGCGUGUGUGGAAAUACCCAGACUAGAAAUGGACCCACAGUAUGUACUGCUGUUACAACACAGUACUACUUGGCAAGGGGCUAUUUUCGUCACCUUGACUUUAUGGACAUACUCUGUGCUCGUGACUGUAUUUUCUCCAUGUUUUGCAGCGCGGUAAUGUAACAGGCAAUGGUGUUUGUUCAAACGGAAAACACAAUGAAAUUAAAUUUGUAUUGAUAUUUUAGGUAAGUUAAGAUAGGUGACAAUUCAAAUGUGGUGUAUUUUCUCUGCUGUGAUGUGAAAUAUCUGUUCCAAUGUGCAACCUGUUCUGCAGAACAUG